GACGAACGCUGGCGGCGUGCUUAACACAUGCAAGUCGAACGGUGACGACUGGAGCUUGCUCCGGUCUGAUCAGUGGCGAACGGGUGAGUAACACGUGAGCAACCUGCCCCAGACUCUGGAAUAACCCCGGGAAACCGGAGCUAAUACCGGAUACGAGACGGAGAGGCAUCUCCACCGUCUGGAAAGUUUUUCGGUCUGGGAUGGACUCGCGGCCUAUCAGCUUGUUGGUGAGGUAACGGCUCACCAAGGCGACGACGGGUAGCCGGCCUGAGCGGGCGACCGGCCACACUGGUACUGAACAACGGCCCAGACUCCUACGGGAGGCAGCAGUGGGGAAUAUUGCACGAUGGGCGAAAGCCUGAUGCAGCGACGCCGCGUGAGGGAUGACGGCCUUCGGGUUGUAAACCUCUUUCAGCAGGGAAGAAGCGAAAGUGACGGUACCUGCAGAAGAAGCACCGGCUAACUACGUGCCAGCCGCCGCGGUAAUAC
rnacentral:rRNA from 1 species